rnacentral:rRNA from 1 species
AACGAACGCUGGCGGCAUGCCUAACACAUGCAAGUCGAACGAGACCUUCGGGUCUAGUGGCGCACGGGUGCGUAACGCGUGGGAACCUGCCCUUAGGUUCGGAAUAACUCCCCGAAAGGGGUGCUAAUACCGGAUAAUGUCUUCGGACCAAAGAUUUAUCGCCUUUGGAUGGGCCCGCGUUGGAUUAGCUAGUUGGUAGGGUAAAAGCCUACCAAGGCGACGAUCCAUAGCUGGUCUGAGAGGAUGAUCAGCCACACUGGGACUGAGACACGGCCCAGACUCCUACGGGAGGCAGCAGUGGGGAAUAUUGGACAAUGGGCGAAAGCCUGAUCCAGCAAUGCCGCGUGAGUGAUGAAGGCCUUAGGGUUGUAAAGCUCUUUUACCCGGGAUGAUAAUGAUAGUACCGGGAGAAUAAGCUCCGGCUAACUCCGU